GUAGGUGGCAAGCGUUGUCCGGAAUUAUUGGGCGUAAAGCGCGCGCAGGCGGUUCUUUAAGUCUGAUGUGAAAGCCCACGGCUCAACCGUGGAGGGUCAUUGGAAACUGGAGAACUUGAGUACAGAAGAGGAAAGCGGAAUUCCACGUGUAGCGGUGAAAUGCGUAGAGAUGUGGAGGAACACCAGUGGCGAAGGCGGCUUUCUGGUCUGUAACUGACGCUGAGGCGCGAAAGCGUGGGGAGCAAACAGGGAUUAGAUACCCUGGUAGUCCACGCCGUAAACGAUGAGUGCUAAGUGUUAGGGGGUUUCCGCCCCCGUUAGUGCUGCAGCUAACGCAUUAAGCACUCCGCCUGGGGAUACGGCGCAAGGCUG
rnacentral:rRNA from 1 species